rnacentral:tRNA from 1 species
GAGGGUGUAGCUCAGUGGUAGAACACAUGCUGAGCAUGCCCCAGGUCCUGGGUUCAAUCCCCAGCACCUCCA